GGCCUUGUAGCUCAGGGGAUAGAGCAGAGGUUUCCUAAACCUUGUGUCGGAGGUUCGAAUCCUCCCAGGGCCG
rnacentral:tRNA from 1 species